AACCUCCGCAAUGUGAGAAAUCGCGACGGGGGGAUCCCAAGUGCCAUUCUUAACGGGAUGGCUUUUCAUUAGUGUAAAGAGCUUUUGGAAUAAGAGCUGGGCAAGACCGGUGCCAGCCGCCGCGGUAACACCGGCAGCUCUAGUGGUAACAAUUUUUAUUGGGCCUAAAGCGUCCGUAGCCGGUUUAAUAAGUCUCUGGUGAAAUCCUGCAGCUUAACUGUGGGAAUUGCUGGAGAUACUAUUAGACUUGAGACCGGGAGAGGUUAGAGGUACUCCCAGGGUAGAGGUGAAAUUCUGUAAUCCUGGGAGGACCGCCUGUUGCGAAGGCGUCUAACUGGAACGGUUCUGACGGUGAGGGACGAAAGUUAGGGGCGCGAACCGGAUUAGAUACCCGGGUAGUCCUAACUGUAAACGAUGCGGACUUGGUGUUGGGGUGGCUUUGAGCUGCUUCAGUGCGAAGGGAGCUGUUAAGUCGCCGCCUGGGAAGUACGGUCGCAAGACUGAAACUUAAAGGAAUU
rnacentral:rRNA from 1 species